GUGAAUCAUCAAAUCUUUGAACGCAAAUUGCACUCCCUGGUAUUCCGGAGAGUAUGCCUGUUUGAGGGUCAGUUUAAAUCAAAAUCGGUGUGGUUGAUGCCUUUCGUGGUGACGCACCGGAUCUGGGUCGUAUUGCCUUCGGCUAAGUGACCUAAAAUUUUGUAUGAUUUUUUUCGAAAGUAUUUAAAUGAUUUUACGUACGUUUGCGAUAUACAUUUCUAGGUGUGGUCAUCCUCAUGAU
rnacentral:misc_RNA from 1 species